rnacentral:rRNA from 1 species
GACGAACGCUGGCGGCGUGCUUAACACAUGCAAGUCGAACGGUGAUGCUCCAGCUUGCUGGAGUGGAUCAGUGGCGAACGGGUGAGUAACACGUGAGCAACCUGCCCCAGACUCUGGAAUAAGCGCUGGAAACGGCGUCUAAUACUGGAUACGAAACUGGCCCGCAUGGGCAUGGUUUGGAAAGUUUUUCGGUUUGGGAUGGGCUCGCGGCCUAUCAGCUUGUUGGUGAGGUAUUGGCUCACCAAGGCGACGACGGGUAGCCGGCCUGAGAGGGCGACCGGCCACACUGGGACUGAGACACGGCCCAGACUCCUACGGGAGGCAGCAGUGGGGAAUAUUGCACAAUGGGCGAAAGCCUGAUGCAGCGACGCCGCGUGAGGGAUGACGGCCUUCGGGUUGUAAACCUCUUUCAGCAGGGAAGAAGCGAAAGUGACGGUACCUGCAGAAGAAGCACCGGCUAACUACGUG